GCCAGCCUAGCUCAGUUGGUAGAGCAGCUCAUUCGUAAUGAGCAGGUCGUCGGUUCGAGUCCGAUGGCUGGCUCCA
rnacentral:tRNA from 1 species